rnacentral:rRNA from 1 species
UGCAAGUCGAGGGGUAGAGGCCUUCGGGCCUUGAGACCGGCGCACGGGUGCGUAACGCGUAUGCAAUCUGCCUUCCACAGAGGGAUAGCCCAGAGAAAUUUGGAUUAAUACCUCAUAGCAUCAUGACCCGGCAUCGGGAUAUGAUUAAAGUCACAACGGUGGAAGAUGAGCAUGCGUCCCAUUAGCUAGUUGGUAAGGUAACGGCUUACCAAGGCUACGAUGGGUAGGGGUCCUGAGAGGGAGAUCCCCCACACUGGUACUGAGACACGGACCAGACUCCUACGGGAGGCAGCAGUGAGGAAUAUUGGUCAAUGGGCGCAAGCCUGAACCAGCCAUGCCGCGUGCAGGAUGACGGUCCUAUGGAUUGUAAACUGCUUUUGUACGGGAAGAAACCCUCCUACGUGUAGGAGCUUGACGGUACCGUAAGAAUAAGGAUCGGCUAACUCCGUGCCAGCAGCCGCGGUAAUACGGAGGAUCCAAGCGUUAUCCGGAAUCAUUGGGUUUAAAGGGUCUGUAGGCGGUCUUGUAAGUCAGUGGUGAAAGCCCAUCGCUCAACGGUGGAACGGCCAUUGAUACUGCUGGACUUGAAUUAUUGGGAAGCAACUAGAAUAUGUAGUGUAGCGGUGAAAUGCUUAGAGAUUACAUGGAAUACCAAUUGCGAAGGCAGGUUGCUACCAAUGGAUUGACGCUGAUGGACGAAAGCGUGGGUAGCGAACAGGAUUAGAUACCCUGGUAGUCCACGCCGUAAACGAUGGAUACUAGCUGUUGGGCGCAAGUUCAGUGGCUAAGCGAAAGUGAUAAGUAUCCCACCUGGGGAGUACGAACGCAAGUUUGAAACUCAAAGGAAUUGACGGGGGCCCGCACAAGCGGUGGAGCAUGUGGUUUAAUUCGAUGAUACGCGAGGAACCUUACCAAGGCUUAAAUGCAGACUGACCGGUUUG